rnacentral:lncRNA from 1 species
UACGCCAUCCUCUCUUUCUCCUCUCUCUUCAAUGCCCAAGGGUUGGGCGUCCCACCUUCCCACAUACCUAAGUUGUUGGGUGAUCUUUUCUGCAUCAAGAAAUAGGAAAAAAAGCUACAGUUCAAGUGUUGAGAUCGCAGACAAAAAUCGACAGUUGAUCAAAGAUCCAAAAGACUGAGAUUCAUCUCGGAGAAGAUGGAUUUAAAAUGAAAAGAAAAGUUCAAGAUUGAUUUCGGUAGAUACUUGUAGAGGCCGGACAUGUGUAUGGCUCAAGAACCUUCAGAUUUACAAUCAUAGAUUGGGGUGUAUUUCGACCAACGUAAGGUAUUGAGAUAUAAUCUCAAAUUUUUCUGUUUUAUUUAUAG